ACGAAGGGUGCAAGCGUUACUCGGAAUUACUGGGCGUAAAGCGUGCGUAGGUGGUUGUUUAAGUCUGUCGUGAAAGCCCUGGGCUCAACCUGGGAAUUGCGAUGGAAACUGGGCGACUAGAGUGUGGCAGAGGGUAGUGGAAUUCCUGGUGUAGCAGUGAAAUGCGUAGAGAUCAGGAGGAACAUCCGUGGCGAAGGCGACUGCCUGGGCCAACACUGACACUGAGGCACGAAAGCGUGGGGAGCAAACAG
rnacentral:rRNA from 1 species